rnacentral:rRNA from 1 species
GCGUUAAUCGGAAUUACUGGGCGUAAAGCGCACGCAGGCGGUUGGAUAAGUUAGAUGUGAAAGCCCCGGGCUCAACCUGGGAAUUGCAUUUAAAACUGUCCAGCUAGAGUCUUGUAGAGGGGGGUAGAAUUCCAGGUGUAGCGGUGAAAUGCGUAGAGAUCUGGAGGAAUACCGGUGGCGAAGGCGGCCCCCUGGACAAAGACUGACGCUCAGGUGCGAAAGCGUG